CUUGUAGGCGGUUCGUUAAGUCCGGUGUGAAAUCUCCCGGCUCAACCGGGAGGGGUCAUCGGAUACUGGCGGACUUGAGGUGGGCAGAGGAAAGCAGAAUUCCCGGUGUAGCGGUGAAAUGCGUAGAUAUCGGGAGGAAUACCAGUGGCGAAGGCGGCUUUCUGGGCCUAUCCUGACGCUGAGGAGCGAAAGCGUGGGGAGCAAACCGGAUUAGAUACCCGGGUAGUCCACGCCCUAAACGGUGGAUGCUAGGUGUAGGGGGUGUCGACCCCCUCUGUGCCGCAGCUAACGCUUUAAGCAUCCCGCCUGGGGAGUACGGCCGCAAGGCUAAA
rnacentral:rRNA from 1 species